AUGGCUGAAGACCAUGGUGAUUUUAUAGCAUCCUGGGCAUUUCACAUCCAUGAAGUAGGAACUGGGGCUCAGCACCAGGCGUUUCUUCCUGCGUUUCCUCUUCUCCUCUUCUGGAGAGGGAUGACGGAGAUCCUUUGCAAGAGGCAUGUUCUCGUGGGGACAUGGAUGAAUCUGGAGAACAUCAUCCUCAGCAAACUGACACAAGAACAGAAAACGAAAUACCGCAUAUUCUCACUCAUAGGGUCUCCCUCAGUCACCCAGGCUGGAGUACAGUGGUGCAAUCAUAGCUCACUUGCAUCCUUCAACUUCUGGGCUCAAGCAGUCCUCCUUCCUCAGCCUCCAGAGUAGCUGAGACCACAGGUAUGUGCCAGCAUGCCCAGCUUUUUAAAAAAUUUUUUGUAAAGAUGGGGUCUUGUGAUCUUGCUACAUUGACCAGGCUGAUCUUGAAUUCCUGGCCUCAAGUGAUCCAUCUGCCUCAGCUUCCCAAAGGCUGAAAUUACAGGCAUGAGCUGCCACACCCAGCCCUUUCUUCCACCCCCCCUAGACUGGGUCUCGCUCUGCUGCCCAGACUGGAGUGCAGUGGUGAAUUCUUGGCUCACUGUAGCCUUGACUUCUGGGCUCAAGUGAUCCUCCCACCUCAGCCUUCCAAGUAGCUAGGACUACAUGCAUGCACCAUCAUGCCCACCUCAUUUUUUAACUUUUUGUAGAGAUCAGAUCUCCCUGUGUUGCCCAGGCUAGUCUCAAACUCCUGAGCUCGAGCCAUUCUCCUGCCUUGUCCUCCCAAAGUGCUGGGAUUAAAGGCAUGAGCCACUGUGCCUGGCCAGUUCUUUUAUUUUUUUUUUUCGAGACAGAGUCUCACUCUGUUGCCCAGGCUGGAGCGCAGUGGUGUGAUCUCAGCUCACUGCAACCUCCACCUCCCAGGUUCAAGCAAAUCUCCUGCCUUGGCCUCCUGAAUAGCUAGGAUUAUAGGUGUGUACCACCACACCUAGAUAAUUGUGUAUUUUUUAAAUUAGAGAUGAGGUUUCAUCACGUUGGCUAGGCUGAUCUUGAACUCCUGACCUCAAGUGAUCUGCUCACUUUGGCUUCCCAAAGUGCUGGGAUUACAGAUGUGAGCCACUGUGCCUGCCAACUAGUUUUUUUUGAAUUAACAAUCUCACUUCAUCCAUUUUCAAGAAAAAGUCUGUCAGAUAGUAAAGUCUAAAUAAUUAUCAUUUGCCUGUUAAUCUUUCUAGUAAAAAUGGUGUUUCAUGAAACAAGUGUCUAGUUUAGCUUGCAACUCAUUCACACAGUGCUUUUCCUAUUUAUUUAAUUUAAAAAAAUUUUUAUUUUUUUUAGACAGUGACUCACACUGUCACCUGGGCUAGAAUGCAGUGGUGCAAUCUCGGCUCACUACAACCUCUGCCUCCCAGGUUCAAGCGAUUCUCCUGCCUCAGCCUCCCAAGUAGCUGAGAUUACAGGUGCCCACCAUCACUCCUGACAUUCUUUGUAUUUUUAGUAGAGACGGGGUUUCACUAUGUUGGCCAGGCUGGUCUCGAACGCCUGACCUCAUGAUCCACCUGCCUCGGCCUCCCAAAGCUGGGAUUAUAGGUGUGAGCCACCGCGCCCAGCUAUUUACUUUUUUUUUUUUUAAGAGACAGGGUCUCAUUCUGUCACCCAGGCUGGAGUGCAGUGGGGCGAUCUCGGUGCACUGCAGGCUCAAACUCCUGGGCUCAAGGGAUCCUCCUACUUCUCCCAAGUAGCAGGGACUACAGAUGCACACCACCAGGCCGGCUAAUUUUUAAAAUUUUUGUAGAGAUGGGCCUUACUAUGUUGAGGCUGGUCUCAAAUUCCUGACCUCAAGUGAUCCUGAGGAGAAUCACUCAUGCCCAGGAGGUUGAGGCCGCAGUGAGCCAUGUUUGCACCACUGUACUCCAGCCUGGGUGACAGAGUAAGACCCUGUCUCUAAAAGAAAAAGAAAAAAAAGUCCUGUCUUUCUUUUUUUUUUCUUAUAUAAUUUUAUUUUAAUCAGGCAGCCCUCAGAAUCAUAGCAGAUUCAGAGAGACUCCCCCAAAAAGUUCUCUUUCAUGCCUAACUUCUGCUCAGCCUCAUCGUCACCUCAGCUACUCCCCUGAGAACAUUACUAAGUUCUCCACAGCUAAUGGCAACUGAGCUUGGAAAGAGUUCUCUUCUAGGAGGAUGCUGAAGGGAGGUGCUCCAAGUAGUGUGGGAAAACCGCUUCAUGCUUAAGUUCACUUCCAUAUCAUGAUACUAAAAGAUACCUACCAGCUGAUUUUUUUUUUUUUUUUUUUUUGAGAUGGAGUCUUACUCUGUCUCCCAGGCUGGAGUGCAGUGGCAUGAUCUUGGCUCACUACAGCUUCCGCCUCCCAGGUUGAAGCGAUUCUCCUGCUUCAGCCUCUUGAGUGGCUGGGUUAACAAGGCAUGUGCCACUAUGCCCAGCUAGUUUUUGUAUUUUUAGUCCCGAACUUCUGACCUUGUGAUCCGCCUGCCUUGGCCUCCCAAAGU
ensembl:lncRNA